rnacentral:rRNA from 1 species
GAACGCUGGCGGCGUGCCUAAUACAUGCAAGUCGAGCGAACAGACGAGGAGCUUGCUCCUCUGACGUUCGCGGCGGACGGGUGAGUAACACGUGGAUAACCUACCUAUAAGACUGGGAUAACUUCGGGAAACCGGAGCUAAUACCGGAUAAUAUAUUGAACCGCAUGGUUCAAUAGUGAAAGACGGUUUUGCUGUCACUUAUAGAUGGAUCCGCGCCGCAUUAGCUAGUUGGUAAGGUAACGGCUUACCAAGGCGACGAUGCGUAGCCGACCUGAGAGGGUGAUCGGCCACACUGGAACUGAGACACGGUCCAGACUCCUACGGGAGGCAGCAGUAGGGAAUCUUCCGCAAUGGGCGAAAGCCUGACGGAGCAACGCCGCGUGAGUGAUGAAGGUCUUCGGAUCGUAAAACUCUGUUAUUAGGGAAGAACAAAUGUGUAAGUAACUAUGCACGUCUUGACGGUACCUAAUCAGAAAGCCACGGCUAACUACGUG